rnacentral:rRNA from 1 species
AGCGAACGCUGGCGGCAUGCUUAACACGUGCAAGUCGCACGGGCAGCAAUGUCAGUGGCGGACGGGUGAGUAUCGCGUAGGAACAUGUCCAGAGGUGGGGGACAACCCCGGGAAACUGGGGCUAAUACCGCAUAUGAGCUGAGGCUCAAAGCAGUGAUGCGCCUUUGGAGUGGCCUGCGUCCGAUUAGGUAGUUGGUGGGGUAAAGGCCUACCAAGCCUGCGAUCGGUAGCUGGUCUGAGAGGACGACCAGCCACACUGGGACUGAGACACGGCCCAGACUCCUACGGGAGGCAGCAGUGGGGAAUAUUGGACAAUGGGGGCAACCCUGAUCCAGCAAUGCCGCGUGGGUGAAGAAGGUCUUCGGAUCGUAAAGCCCUUUCGGCGGGGACGAUGAUGACGGUACCCGCAGAAGAAGCCCCGGCUAACUUCGUGCCAGCCGCCGCAGUAA